AUGAACGCUGGCGGCGUGCUUAACACAUGCAAGUCGAACGGGAAUUAUUUUAUUGAAACUUCGGUCGAUUUAAUUUAAUUCUAGUGGCGGACGGGUGAGUAACGCGUGGGUAACCUGCCUUAUACAGGGGGGUAACAGUCAGAAAUGGCUGCUAAUACCGCAUAAGCGCACAGAGCUGCAUGGCUCAGUGUGAAAAACUCCGGUGGUAUAAGAUGGACCCGCGUUGGAUUAGCUUGUUGGCAGGGUAACGGCCUACCAAGGCGACGAUCCAUAGCCGGCCUGAGAGGGUGAACGGCCACAUUGGGACUGAGACACGGCCCAGACUCCUACGGGAGGCAGCAGUGGGGAAUAUUGCACAAUGGGGGAAACCCUGAUGCAGCGACGCCGCGUGAAGGAAGAAGUAUCUCGGUAUGUAAACUUCUAUCAGCAGGGAAGAUAGUGACGGUACCUGACGAAGAAGCCCCGGCUAACUACGUG
rnacentral:rRNA from 1 species